AAACGGGUGGUAAUGCCGGAUGCUCCAUCACACCGCAUGGUGUGUUGGGAAAGCCUUUGCGGCAUGGGAUGGGGUCGCGUCCUAUCAGCUUGAUGGCGGGGUAACGGCCCACCAUGGCUUCGACGGGUAGCCGGCCUGAGAGGGCGACCGGCCACAUUGGGACUGAGAUACGGCCCAGACUCCUACGGGAGGCAGCAGUGGGGAAUAUUGCACAAUGGGCGCAAGCCUGAUGCAGCGACGCCGCGUGAGGGAUGGAGGCCUUCGGGUUGUAAACCUCUUUUGUUAGGGAGCAAGGCAUUUUGUGUUGAGUGUACCUUUCGAAUAAGCACCGGCUAACUACGUGCCAGCAGCCGCGGUAAUACGUAGGGUGCAAGCGUUAUCCGGAAUUAUUGGGCGUAAAGGGCUCGUAGGCGGUUCGUCGCGUCCGGUGUGAAAGUCCAUCGCUUAACGGUGGAUCCGCGCCGGGUACGGGCGGGCUUGAGUGCGGUAGGGGAGACUGGAAUUCCCGGUGUAACGGUGGAAUGUGUAGAUAUCGGG
rnacentral:rRNA from 1 species